GGCAACAUCAUUUAUUGUGUCUGCAAUUUUUAAGACCUUUGAGUGUGAAAUUUAAGGAUUAAUUGUCAAUUUUAAGGAAGAUAUUAAAGA